UACGAAGGGGGCGAGCGUUGUUCGGAAUUACUGGGCGUAAAGGGCGCGCAGGCGGCCCUUGAAGUCAGGCGUGAAAGCCCCGGGCUCAACCCGGGAAGUGCACUCGAUACUGUCAAGCUAGAGUAUCGGAGAGGUUGGUGGAAUUCUCGGUGUAGAGGUGAAAUUCGUAGAUAUCGAGAGGAACACCGGUGGCGAAGGCGGCCAACUGGACGAAUACUGACGCUGAGACUCGAAAGCGUGGGGAGCAAACAGG
rnacentral:rRNA from 1 species